rnacentral:rRNA from 1 species
UACGAAGGGUGCAAGCGUUACUCGGAAUUACUGGGCGUAAAGCGUGCGUAGGUGGUUUGUUAAGUCUGAUGUGAAAGCCCUGGGCUCAACCUGGGAAUUGCAUUGGAUACUGGCAGGCUAGAGUGCGGUAGAGGGUAGUGGAAUUCCCGGUGUAGCAGUGAAAUGCGUAGAGAUCGGGAGGAACGAUCUGUGGCGAAGGC